AAAUGAAUAGACGGGGGCCCGCACAAGCAGUGGAGCAUGUGGUUUAAUUCGACGCAACCCGAAGAACCUUACCAGGGUUUGACAUCUACCUAAUCCUUUAGAGAUAGAGGAGUGCCCUUUUGGGAAAGGUAAGACAGGUGGUGCAUGGUUGUCGUCAGCUCGUGUCGUGAGAUGUUGGGUUAAGUCCCGCAACGAGCGCAACCCUUGAUGUUGGUUGCCAGCAGGUAGAGCUGGGCACUCCAGCGUGACUGCCGUAGAUAAUACGGAGGAAGGUGGGGAUGACGUCAAAUCAUCAUGCCCUAUACAUCCUGGGCUACACACGUGCUACAAUGGGGCGAACAACGGGAAGCAAGCAAGCGAUUGUAAGCGGAUCCCUAAAAGCGUCUCUCAGUUCGGAUUGCAGGCUGCAACUCGCCUGCAUGAAGUCGGAAUUGCUAGUAAUCGCGGAUCAGCAAGCCGCGGUGAAUACGUUCCCGGGCCUUGUACACACCGCCCGU
rnacentral:rRNA from 1 species